rnacentral:rRNA from 1 species
CUACGGGUGGCAGCAGUGGGGAAUAUUGCACAAUGGACGAAAGUCUGAUGCAGCAACGCCGCGUGGAGGAUGACACAUUUCGGUGCGUAAACUCCUUUUAUAUAGGAAGAUAAUGACGGUACUAUAUGAAUAAGCACCGGCUAACUCCGUGCCAGCAGCCGCGGUAAUACGGAGGGUGCAAGCGUUACUCGGAAUCACUGGGCGUAAAGAGCGUGUAGGCGGGUUAAUAAGUUGGAAGUGAAAUCCUAUGGCUCAACCAUAGAACUGCUUCCAAAACUGUUAACAUAGAAUAUGGGAGAGGUAGAUGGAAUUUCUGGUGUAGGGGUAAAAUCCGUAGAGAUCAGAAGGAAUACCGAUUGCGAAGGCGAUCUACUGGAACAUUAUUGACGCUGAGACGCGAAAGCGUGGGGAGCAAACAGGAUUAGAUACCCGGGUAGUG